rnacentral:lncRNA from 1 species
UUAAAGACAUUAGCAUCAAUAUGAUACCCCAUAAAUUAGUAAAUUAAAAUAGAGAAAGAAAGAAUCUUAAAGAUAUACAAUUAUCAUAUUCAAUAACAAUUUGUCUUACAUAACUUUCAUCUUUGACAGUCAUAUCAAGUCUUAAUGUAUCUAAUUUGGAUGGAGUAUAGGCCUCCUCAUCAUAAGUUUCUAACUAAUGAAAUCCUCUUGCAGGUGCCUUUAAUACAAUAUACCAACUAGAUGUAUAGCUCUCUCUAGAAUAAAAAACUUGUUUUGCUUGUGAUGCUAAUUGAUGUUAUCCUCUAUAAUGAUUUACCAAUGUAAAUCCUUCUUCAAUCUUGACUCCAGUAUCUAUAUUUGCCCAAUCACAAUGAAACAGAGGAACUUUAAAACUAAGAUAAUCUAUUAAAAUUAUGUCUCUGAUAACCCGUAAUAAGAUACUUUACCAACUACAUGGCUUGUAUCCUUCAUGCUAGAUCAACAAAUAGUUUGUUCUUCAAUAGGAACACCACUGUUUUGUGCACUUCUACUAACAUCGGUUGUAUGAAAUCGAUUUCCAUUGAUAACAUAACCAGAAUGUGACAUCACAUCAUUUCUAGGCCGACGUGCAAGCCAUUUCAAUGUAUUAGACAUGUUACAAUUGUCUUGUUUGCCUUUCUCCGCAAACCAAGAAUUGAAAGUCUCCAUAUGUCUCAUUUAUAAUAAAGUUUCAUUCUUGGCAAUACGGCUAUCUGAAUUCUUAAUCUCCUCUUUAUGCAUCCUAAAUGAAAAAAAAUAAACAAAUAGUAAGAGAAGUUUAUGAGAGAACAUCAAUUAAUGUUAAACUAAUAAAUUAACUAAUUUCAUUACAUUAUAUAUGGCUCAACUGCAACGCUGUUAAAUAGCACAUAACGACGAGCGACCUCUAACAUUGUCUUUGACUUUCCUUCUAAAACAUGUAUUUUUAUUGGUUAUAGUCUUUGUCAUCAUGGAUACAAAUGUUUGGAUCUUGCAACUGGAAAUGUAUUUGUUUCAAGACAAGUUCUCAAUGAAACACUAUUUCCUUAUACCAACACCAAAAGUCCCCAGGAAGAAUUAACAGAUACUUCCAUUUCUUUACCAACUAAUCUUCGCGCACAUCAUUGCUUUCCACAUAUGUCAUGCAGGUUCUCACCAUGGUCCACGUAUUCCACUUGAAGUUGGGACAAUUUCACAAGAAAAUCAGAACACAUCAAGCAGAUAUGGUCGGUGCUCUCCCGUGAUGGAUGUCACUACUUCAUCUAUUGUUCCUGGCAGCACCUCAACCUCUCAACCUUCAACUCCUCAUCACAUGCUUUCACGUUCCAAGACGAAUUCCUUGAAACGAAGACAUCUGGAUGAUGAUUUUAUUCGGUAUCCUCUACCGAAAACCCUUGUGGCCACUGCAAGGUGACCUUUAUUAGAGCCUUCAUGUUAUUUUGAGGCAUCCAAAUAUUCAGAAUGGAGACGGGCAAUGAAUGAAGAAUUUGAUGCUUUGAUUCGAAAUCAUACAUGGACUCUUGUUCCACCGAAACCCGAAGUUAACUUAAUUGGGUGUAAAUGGGUCUAUCGAAUUAAACGGCAUGUAGAUGGAAGAAUAGAAAGAUUCAAGGCAAGAUUAGUAGCUAAAGGCUAUAAUCAGCAAGAAUGAGUAGAUUUUCAUGACACUUUCAGCCCUGUGUUAAAACUAACAACAAUUAGAUUUCUACUUUUAGUUGCUAUCACUAAUCAUUGGUACAUCAAACAGAUUGAUGUACAAAAUGCAUUUUUAAAUGGGAUUCUCAUUGAAGAUGUCUAUAUGAGACAGUCACCAGGAUAUUUGCAUUCGGAUUAUCCAAAUCAUCUAUGUAAGUUGAACAAGAGUUUAUAUGGCUUACGCCAAGCCCCACAUUCAUGGUUUUCUAGAUUAACUUAAAUGCUUACUAGCAUGGGAUUUGUUGGUUCAAAGGCUGAUUCCUCACUAUAUUUUCUUCAUCAAGAUGAUAUGCAGUUAUUUUUCCUCAUUUACGUUGAUGAUAUAAUCAUCACCUGGACAGAUCCAAAGCAUAUUGAUUGGGUAAUUCAUAAGCUUUCUCUCGAAUUUCCUAUUAAAGAUCUUGGCAACCUCUCCUAUUUCCUUCGAAUUGAAGCUCUACGUACCAAUGAAGGCCUCUUUCUCACACAACAAAAGUAUAUUGUUGAACUGUUAAGGAAAGCUAUUCUUGAGAAUGCCAAGCCAUGUCUAACACCAAUGGCUACAAAUUGUCAUCUCACUAAGUUCGAUGGAACAGCCUUUGACAAUCCAAUGUUAUAUCGCAGUAGAGUUGGUGGACUUCAGUAUCUUGGAUUCACGCGACCAGAUAUUGCAUUUGCAGUCCAUAGAGUCAGCAAGUUUAUACAUUGUCCCAAAGAUACCCAUUGGCAAGCUGUUAAACGUAUCUUGCGGUAUCUUAAAUAUUUUGUAUCAGAUGGAUUAUUUCUCUCAGCCAAUUCUGCCAAUAAUGCUUUUUCAGAUGCGGAUUAGGCCUCUGAUCAUGAUGAUGGACGAUCUGUUGGAGCAUAUUUGGUAUUUCAUGGGUAGAAUCUAAUUAGCUGGUCAUGCAAGCAACAAUAGACGGUGGCAAAGAGUAGUACAAAGGCUGAAUAUAAGGCGUUAUCCACUGCUGCAGCUGAGCUACAAUGGCUUCAAUCCCUUACACAAACCAUACAUAUUUCUAUCUCUGGCUUACCUCAACUAUGGUGCAAUAAUAUUGGCGCGACUUAUCUAUCAGCUAAUCCGGUUUUCCAUGCACGAACCAAGCAUUUCUUCAUUCAUUGCUCGUCUCCAUUCUGGAAAUUUGGAUGCCUCAGAAUAAUAUGUAGACUCUAAUAAAGGUGGCCUUGCAGUGGCCACAAGGGCCUGUGUAAUUUAUACUUGAGAAUACCAUAGAAGACUUGAAGCUUGGGAAUGUCAAGUUCUUGAAUUAAAAGCUGAUAUUUUGUGAAUUGAAG